GCCCGCAUAGUUCAGUGGAGAGAACAGGAGCCUUCUAAGCUUCAGGCACAGGUUCAAUUCCUGUUGCGGGUACCA
rnacentral:tRNA from 1 species